GACGAACGCUGGCGGCGUGCCUAAUACAUGCAAGUCGAACGAGAGCAACCGGUGCUUGCACUGGUCAAUCUAGUGGCGAACGGGUGAGUAACACGUGGGUAACCUGCCCAUCAGAGGGGGAUAACAUCCGGAAACGGAUGCUAAAACCGCAUAGGUCUUCGAACCGCAUGGUUUGAAGAGGAAAAGAGGCGCAAGCUUCUGCUGAUGGAUGGACCCGCGGUGCAUUAGCUAGUUGGUGAGGUAACGGCUCACCAAGGCCGUGAUGCAUAGCCGACCUGAGAGGGUGAUCGGCCACAUUGGGACUGAGACACGGCCCAAACUCCUACGGGAGGCAGCAGUAGGGAAUCUUCCGCAAUGGAUGCAAGUCUGACGGAGCAACGCCGCGUGAGUGAAGAAGGUUUUCGGAUCGUAAAACUCUGUUGUUAGAGAAGAACAAGUGCUAGAGUAACUGUUAGCGCCUUGACGGUAUCUAACCAGAAAGCCACGGCUAACUACGUG
rnacentral:rRNA from 1 species